rnacentral:tRNA from 1 species
GGAGGAUUAGCUCAGCUGGGAGAGCACCUGCCUUACAAGCAGGGGGUCGGCGGUUCGAUCCCGUCCAUCCUCCACCA